rnacentral:rRNA from 1 species
GAUGUUAAAAUGGCGAAAUCCAACCAAGCUCGGGUAAACGGCGGGAGUAACUAUGACUCUCUUAAGGUAGCCAAAUGCCUCGUCAUCAUACGAAACGAUACCACGGGGGGGAGGUUUAGCGAAGGUCACCCCGACCAGAGCGGCAUUUCCCCUAUGGAUAUCCCCUUGGAGCCGCAGCGGUCAGUCACGAAUGUUGCCUCGAUGGUGUUUCCCGGUCUUAGCGGGCUGGGGGGUGCUUGAGAAGUGACCAAAGAGGCCGAAGUUUCCCGGGGCAAUCGACUCUGUCGUGUCGUCUUGGGGGGCUGAAGCCUCGUGCCAAAUUGCAGGAAGGGUUCUCCCGCAAGGGGGGGCCUGACCGGCAGCCAACCCGGAGUGGGGCUUCACGGCCUUGCAAAGGGAGGUUCAGAGACUAUAGGGCACUAUGGGGGGUGUGGGGCCUAAGCAGAACGUGGGGGGGUAGCUGCCUCCAUCAAGUACGCCCGGGUUUUGCGCUCUCCUACUAGUAAUAGUCCACCGACAGGACGCGAAAGCUUGAGCGGGUGGCUUGUUUCCCUGUUCGCACCUUCCGGGGGCGCCCUUUUCGGGGGGUUCUUUCGGAGCGAGUGAGCGUGGGGGGCAUUGGCCAGAGGCUCUCAUAGCCCAGUAACGUCCGCCUUAGGUGUUAAUUUGUGACGCGCAUGAAUGGAUUAAUGAGAUUCCCACUGUCCCUACCUACUAUCUAGCGAAACCACAGCCAAGGGAACGGGCUUGGCACAAUUAGCGGGGAAAGAAGACCCUGUUGAGCUUGACUCUAGGCACAAACGCGAGGUGAUUCUAAAGGUGUAGCAUAGGUGGGAGGGCCUGGCCCGACCUUGAAAUACCACCACUUUCGACAUUGCCUUGCUAAUGCUGUAAUAAGUAAACGACCCCCCUUCGUGUCGGCCUUCACGGGUCGGCUGUUGGGUACGGUCAUGUUCUGGCGUUUUCCCUGCUGGUAAUGAUGGCGUGGCUACCUCGGAGAAGUACCCUGAGGCCGCAAUCCAGGCUUUCGGGCUCGGUGAGCGCUGUUCUCGGGGGAACCGGGGGUUCGUUGUGCUGUCCUCUGGCCGGCGUAAAGGGGUAUACAAGUCGUGUAGCAAACUAUUUGUGUUAGGGAGUUUGGCUGGGGCGGAAAACUGCUACACGGCAACGGCAGUCUCCUAAGGUUCACUCAGAGACGACAGAAACGUCUCGUAGAGCAUAAGGGCAAAAGUGAGCUUAACUCACAUUUUCAGUAGUAAUGUGAAGCAAGAAAUUGAGGCCUAACGAUCCUUAACGGCGGGUGCCAGCCCACGUUUGAGGUGAGAGAAAAGUUACCACAGGGAUUGAUCAAAACUCGGGAGUCCCAAGGGAAAAUACGGGCAUAGUCGGGGGGUGUGGCGGGGGUAAGGGUCUCCAAUCUCGGGGACCCCCCCCCCUCCUCCUCCUCCUCUCGGCGACGUCCGUACCCUUAGUCCUGGGGGUGUUGGGGUAAGAAAAUCACGGGAGGGCCCUCAAAAGCCCGACCUUUCUCGCUCUGGUGCUCUUGGGGCAACGUACCUAGAUGUCUAGGAAGGCCUAUACCAAACGCCGUUCAGUACCAAGCGUUCCGUGGUAAUACCAUGGCGUGGAGGGAGCCCCUCAGCAAUGGGGGAGGACCGGGUUAUAACCUGACGUGCGGGGCUAACUAGCAGACAACAAGGCCAUCCAAGCCACGGGGAGCUUCAAUUGACGGAGCAAUGCCCCAAUCAUGUGGUAUGGGAACGGUGGCUACGUGUUUCAACGACUGGAAAGGUACGGGUGUGGCUUUGGUGGGUCUAAAAGGCGUAUUUUCCCUUCACUCGUGAGGGUGGGAGUGCGUCGAGUAGGGUCCCCUCGGCUGCAUCCAAGGAACAGUCUACCCCUGCCCGCAAAGGGUACCCUGAAGCUGUCUUUUACGGCUCGUUCGCCCGGCUUUUGCCGGGGGUCUCGAGACUCGUCGAGGGUGGUGUAGGGGGGAGUGUCGGGACCCUCUUGGCGGGGACCCGGCACUUUGGUAUCAGGGAACUGGCUUGUGGCCGCCAAGCGUUCAUAGCGACGUGGCUUUUUGAUCCUUCGAUGUCGGCUCUUCC